ensembl:lncRNA
GCUGUAGAAGAUGGGGUGCUGCUGUAGUAAGACUGACGAGUGGAGAGACAGCGACAGCGACAGCGAAAGCAUCAGCGGCAUCGACAGUGACAUCAGCAGUCUGUCAGACAUCCUGCACUACAGUGGAUGGAGGACGGUGAUGGUGGAGCACAGGCAGCACACCACCGCAGGAACCCAGCAGGCAUGGUUGGAUGCAGAGCUUAAAGGAGACAGCAGGUGUAAGGAGGAACCUGAGGUUAUUAGGAACCCAACACGUGUCGGGCCCACCCUUGAAUCAGAUCCCUGUGUGGCGCUGGACAGACUGAGCACAGGCGGAGAGGAAAACACUCCAGAUGGGUCAAACAGCUUCUACAGCAUCCGUCCCAUUGAUGCUGAUGACCUUGAGCAGGAGCAGAACCAGUGGGCAACAGAUGAGCCUGGUCCAUCCACUGUGCUGCAAACCGAGUUACUAACACCUCCUCCUGAAACAGACACUGGAUUAUUCCAAACACUUCCUCCUGGACCAGACCCCGAUUUAUUCCCAACACCUCCUCCUGGACCAGACCCUGAUUUAUUCCCAACACCUCCUCCUGGACCAGUCUCUGGAUUAUUCUCAACACCUCCUGAAUUGUCUUUACUGAGUGAGGUCGAUGUGCGUGUGACCACAAUAUCCUCACCGGAUACUGUUUCCUCCCAUCACACCGAUGUCACGACCUCGUCUCUCAACAAUCCAGGAAAAUUGUACGGUCCAGAAACUCACCGUAGAUCCCCCAAAUCCCACUUUGAGUGGCAGGAAAAUGCGGAGCUCAAACGUUCGUGGCUUCCAGCGAAUUCACGCAUCCGGAAAAUCCCGAGCCGAGAAGAGGGCGAUGAUCCCUCUGUCUCAAUUUGUUUUUACAGUGCACCUGAAGACCUGGCCCCCCCGAGACCUGAGCGUCAGGAUGUUGCCAUACAAACUUUGCCCCCUGGUGCUUGUGGAGAUGCUUCCACUCCACCCAAGAUUGAGUCCGUCUGUCUGGUGAUGGCUGAAGGGGGCAACAGUGGGGACAAGACGAAGGGAAUGGUGUGGUCCCAGGGAACACCCCAGGCUGAGUCCCCACAGACAGGCAGAGGUGUGGACAUCCCAGGGCCAGUGUCGGAGCUCCAGCCCUCCAAGGUUCCCAGAGACUGCCCACAGCCUAAAACUUUGCCAGGACUGUCAGCCAAACCUCCCAGACUACAAAGGUAUUCUAGCCAUCGUUUAAUGUUUGUGAAGAUGCUUUUAAUUCCCUUCCCGGGAAUUCAGAUUAUUUAUGGGGACCAGAGCAGUUGUGACUUCUCCUUUCUGCAGGAGAGGACGCGUCAGCAUGGGGAGAAGAUACCAACAGAGGGAAGCAGACAAGACAAAGGAGCUGGUAAGCAACUGCUGGUUUUGCCUUGUGGACACACCAGUGCUCAGUUUCCACAUUGACCCAGUGCUGCUUUAUAGGACGCAGAGAGGAAGCCGUCACCUCUUCCUGAGAUCGGGGAGGCCAACUUCCCUUCUCUUUCUGCUGUGAAUGUUUCCACAGCAACCGUACCUGCAACUGAGAACAAGGUACAUUUACUAAUAAUGUCAGAAACACUCACUGUCAGACGCAACCUUGUUUUAUUUGAGUCGUCCUGAACUGGUUGAACAGAGUCUUCUCAAAGCCAGCAAGCCGGGUUAUUCAGGGUCCGUGAGGUCACAGAAUUGUCAGCCAAUAUUAAUCUGGUUUUACCAGAGCUGUUGCAGCGAUGCUCAUGUUGGAAACGAAAUCCUUCUGCUCUGACUGUUCAGGUGGGCUCCAAACUGACAUAUGCACAGGUCUGUCGGAUGCCCCCACGUGAGCGUGCCCCAUUCCCAGACCUUAGCCCACCCCACCCAGACCUUAGCCCACCCUACCCGGACCUUCGCCCACCCUACCCAGACCUUAGCCCACCCUACCCAGAACUUAGCCCACCCUACCCAGAACAAGAUCCCCAACCAGCUGGGACUCGCCAGCCAACUAAGUUGAGAUAUGCGUGGCUUUGAACAGACCACUAUGAAUAUUUCGUUUUCAGUCUUUACAAAAGAAGCUGAAGAGAAACUCUUUAAUUGCUGCUUUAGGGGAUUGUUUUCUUUGGUUUGUUGUUUAGGUUUGUUUUUUUGUUUUUUUAAAUCCAGGUUCUGUUCCCAGUUUGAUUGUUCCAGUCCGUCCAGAAUGUUCCAGUGUUUUUCUUUUAACACACCUGCAUAAUUGAUGCUUAUAAUUCUGAUUUCUUCUAUUAAAAAGCACUGAGCAAUAUGUCUCUUUGCAUCUUAUUUAUCUAAUGUUGGUACUGAGUUUGUUAGGCUUUUAUUUGAGUUCAUCAGGAGUGCUUUGGAUGUAGAAACUUAUGUUUGAGUAAAGAGGAUUUGUUGAUGUACCUCAUUCACAUUAUGUCCAGUGUGAAAUCAC